AUGGAAGCCAUUUUCUUGGUACGACAACUUAUGGAGAGAUAUAGGGAGCAAAAGAAGGACUUGCAUAUGGUGUUCAUUGACUUGGAGAAGGCCAUUGAUAAGAUACCGCGGAAUGUCAUGUUGUGGGCCUUAGAGAAACACAAAGUCCCAGCAAAGUACAUUACCCUCAUCAAGGACAUGUACGAUAAUAUUGUGACAAGUGUUCGAACAAGUGAUGUCGACACUGAUGACUUCCCGAUUAAGAUAGGACCGCAUCAGGGGUCAGCUUUGCGCCCUUAUCUUUUUGCAUUGGUGAUGGAUGAGGUCACAAGGGAUAUACAAGGAGAUAUCCCAUGGUGUAUGCCUUUUGCGGAUGAUGUGGUGCUAGUUGACGAUAGUCGGAUGAGGGUAAAUAGGAAGUUAGAGUUAUGGAGACAAACCUUGGAAUCAAAAGGGUUUAGACUUAGUAGAACAAAAACCGAGUACAUGAUGUGCGGUUUUAGUACUACUAGGUGUGAGGAGGACGAGGAGGUUAGGCUUGAUGGCCAGGUGGUACCCCAGAAGGACACCUUUUGGUAUUUGGGGUCAAUGUUGCAGGAGGAUGGGGUAUUGAUGAAGAUGUGA
rnacentral:rRNA from 1 species